rnacentral:rRNA from 1 species
UGCCUAACACAUGCAAGUCGAACGAGAAAGUCCCCGCAAGGGGAUGAGUAAAGUGGCGACCGGGUGAGUAACACGUGACUAACCUACCUUGGAGUGGGGGAUAACCUCGGGAAACCGGGGCUAAUACCGCAUAAAACCGCGUGGCUGAAAUGCCGUGCGGUCAAAGGAGCAAUUCGCUCUUGGAGGGGGUCGCGGGUGAUUAGCUAGUUGGCGGGGUAACGGCCCACCAAGGCGAUGAUCAGUAGCCGGCCUGAGAGGGCGCACGGCCACACUGGAACUGAAACACGGUCCAGACUCCUACGGGAGGCAGCAGUGGGGAAUUUUGCGCAAUGGGGGAAACCCUGACGCAGCAACGCCGCGCGGAGGUGAAGUCCCUUGGGACGUAAACUCC